UAUUGAUCCCCCUCCAAUCCGCCGAGGGUCAGAGCCAACGUCAGGGACGCCAUCAGGGAUGAUGGCGUAGCCGCAGCCGGCACAGGGAUGUGCCGUCUGCGGCGGCCCGUCCAACGUUGGUUCUGAACCGAGGACACUGGCGAAGCCAGCGGAUUGGCGGGGGUAGCCU
rfam:Aeromonas diversa 2478-85 Contig 75, whole genome shotgun sequence.